rnacentral:rRNA from 1 species
UACAGAGGUCUCAAGCGUUGUUCGGAUUCAUUGGGCGUAAAGGGCGCGUAGGCGGCGGGGUAAGUCGGGUGUGAAAUCUCAGGGUUCAACCCUGAAACUGCACUCGAUACUGCUCUGCUUGAGGACUGGAGAGGAGACUGGAAUUCACGGUGUAGCAGUGAAAUGCGUAGAUAUCGUGAGGAAGACCAGUGGCGAAGGCGGGUCUCUGGACAGUUCCUGACGCUGAGGCGCGAAGGCCAGGGGGAGCAAACGGGG